AGAACGAACGCUGGCGGCAUGCCUAACACAUGCAAGUCGAACGCCUGUAGCAAUACAGGAGUGGCGCACGGGUGAGUAACGCGUGGGAACCUACCCUGGAGUGGGGGAUAACCGAGAGAAAUUUCGGCUAAUACCGCAUACGACCUGAGGGUGAAAGAUUUAUCGCUCUAGGAGGGGCCCGCGUCGGAUUAGCUAGUUGGUGGGGUAACGGCCUACCAAGGCAACGAUCCGUAGCUGGUCUGAGAGGAUGAUCAGCCACACUGGGACUGAGACACGGCCCAGACUCCUACGGGAGGCAGCAGUGGGGAAUAUUGGACAAUGGGGGCAACCCUGAUCCAGCAAUGCCGCGUGAGUGAUGAAGGCCUUAGGGUUGUAAAGCUCGUUUCGGCGGGGACGAUGAUGACGGUACCGCAGAAGAAGCCCGGCUAACUUCGCGCCAGCAGCCGC
rnacentral:rRNA from 1 species